CCCUCGGGGUCCCGGCGGGCGGGCACUCGGCGGCCGCGGCGCGAUGGAGGCGCCGGCCGAACUGCUGGCCGCGCUGCCCGCGCUGGCCACGGCGCUGGCGCUGCUGCUUGCCUGGCUACUGCUGCGGCGUGGGGCGGCCCCGGAACACGCGUCCCCAGCGGAGGCCCCCGGGGCUCCCGCGCCGCCUGCGCCUCCCGAGCCCUGCUCCCCGGAGCCCGCACCCGCGGAGCCGCGCCAGCCCGAGCGCAUGGCGGAACCGGGGGAGCCCGCGGCGGAGGAGCCGGCGGACGAGGGGAGGCAGGAUGAAGAGCAAGACUCAGACAGUGAGGCAGGACCACCCACUGAAGAGCCUGAGGAAGAGGAUGGAGCGGCCUUCUCCUUUAAGUACAGCCCUGGGCAGCUGAGAGGAAGCCAGUACAAGCAGAUGAUGACCAAAGAAGAAUUGGAGGAGGAACAGAGGAUUGAGCUGACCUCUGACCUCACCUCCCUGUAGCGAGUCCUUUAGUCCUGGGCCACAAAUGUUCUUGCAAACCCUUGUGGUAAGGAGAACUGAAGAAUAAAGAAGGUGCCCUUCUUAGCCUCCUCCUGAAGGCUUUCUUUCCUUUUGACACCUUAAAAGCUUGAUUUAAAAAAAAAAGGGAGGAGCCCAUGCAGGCUUGGGGUGGGGGCAGGGGGAGUUUGCCUGCAAAUCCGCUGACUUGUUGGCCCACCCCAACUCCGGCUGGGCUCCCCUGGACUAGCAACUAGCAAGAGCUUCAGGACUGGUUUUGUCUCUGUCCUGAUCAGAGGUGUUUAUUGGGGGAGGGGGGGCUGCUUGCCAAGAAUAUGUAUGGGCUCAGGCCCUGGGCUUCCUUACCAGCCAUGCUUGCUCCCCACCCACCCCCACUUAUGCCCCCACACCCGGUCCACACAGCUGCCCUGUGCUUUUGUUCUCACAGAAGCCAAACCACCAGAUUUGAGAUGAAUGAAGUACAGCCCAACAGGGCUCACUUGCUGUCAGAGGUGGUCACACACACACACACACACACACACACACACACACACACACACACCCUGGGGGACGGGGGCCUUCCUUCUCUCUGGCAGGAAUGAGUCAUGCCAGGUACCGGCUUUAACAGGCCUCCUUUUGCCCCGCCCUACCCCAGGAGUCUCGGGCCCACCCACCCCCACCUCCCCACCCGUUGUACUGGAGGCCCCUUUACCAGUGUCCUCCUCACCAGCUCAGCUUAGGCUCCACUUCGGCUUACAAUAGUGGUGUUAGCUUCCAGCAGACUUCUGGAUUGUGUAUUUUCUAGGUUUUUCCUAGGUGACUUUGAACCUCAUAAUCACCCAGCAGUCCCAGGUUAGUUUUUUCAGAAUUUUAUAUUUGACAGUAUUUAUACCAAAUGACUCUGACGUCUUAGACUUGUUGAAGACAUUUUUUUUUUUCCUAAAGCACUAAGUUUUUAGAAGAUUUUCCAUUUAAUAGAAAACUAGAAAAAUGUCCAGCAUCGACUCCUAAGCCUCAUGCUCCUGGCGGCCUUCUCCUGUGCCUAAGGACUUGGGUUCGGGGCCUAGGGCUGAGCAGGCCACAGAGCAGCAAACAUAACUCAAUGCCUUUGACACAGAGCCAUGUGACCAACAGAGUCACACUCACUUGUUCCUAAAUAGCAAUAGUGAAGUCUCUGUCUAGGCUGGGGCUUCCUCCACACCGAGGAGUGACUUCUGGACAUCGUUAGUUAGGCUUUUGCGGAAAUCUGAGCGUGGCUUCUGAGCGACAAGCCCCUCACACUCCUGGCGGCUUGGCUCGAUAUGUAUAGCCUGUGUUCUGGCCAAUAAAAAGUUAAGUAGAGGA